rnacentral:tRNA from 1 species
GGGCCCAUGGCGCAGUUGGUAGCGCGCUUCGUUCGCAAUGAAGAGGUCGGGGGUUCGAAUCCCCCUGGGUCCACC